rnacentral:tRNA from 1 species
GGGGAUGUAGCUUGGUGAUAGAGCACUUGGCCUGGCAUGUUAGAGGCCCUGGGCUCAAUUCCCAGCACCA